rnacentral:tRNA from 1 species
GGAGGGUGCGACUCAGCAGUAGAGCACAUGCCUAGCACGCAUGAGGUCCUGGGUUCCAUCCUCAGAACCUCCA